rnacentral:snRNA from 1 species
GUGCUCGCUUCGGCAGCACAUAUACUAAGAUUGGAACGAUACAGAGAUUAGCAUGGCUCCUGCGCAAGGAUGACAGGCAGAUUCGUGAAGCGUUCCAUAUUUUU